GACGAACGCUGGCGGCGUGCCUAAUACAUGCACGUCGAACGCAUUUGCGAACGGGUGAGUAAUGCGUAGGUAACUGCCUCAUAGCGGGGGAUAACUAUUGGAAACGUUAGCUAAUACCGCAUACUGUGAGAUGGACCUGCGUUGUAUUAGCUAGUUGGUGAGGUAAAGGCUCAACAAGGCGACGAUACAUGGCCGCCCUGAACUGGGGAGCUGACAGAUGGGUACUGAGAAACGGCCCAGACUCCUACUGGAGGCAGCAGUAGGGAAUCUUCGGCAAUGGACGGAAGUCUGAACGAGCAACGGCGCGUGAGUGAAGAAAGUUUUCGGAUCGUAAAGCGCUGUUGGUAGGGAAGCGGUAACUAACCAGAAAGAGACGGCUAACUACGUGCCAGCAGCCGCGGUAAUGC
rnacentral:rRNA from 1 species